rnacentral:rRNA from 1 species
CCUACGGGGUGCAGCAGUGGGGAAUAUUGCACAAUGGGCGCAAGCCUGAUGCAGCCAUGCCGCGUGUGUGAAGAAGGCCUUCGGGUUGUAAAGCACUUUCAGCGGGGAGGAAGGCGGUGAGGUUAAUAACCUCAUCGAUUGACGUUACCCGCAGAAGAAGCACCGGCUAACUCCGUGCCAGCAGCCGCGGUAAUACGGAGGGUGCAAGCGUUAAUCGGAAUUACUGGGCGUAAAGCGCACGCAGGCGGUCUGUCAAGUCGGAUGUGAAAUCCCCGGGCUCAACCUGGGAACUACAUUCGAAACUGGCAGGCUAGAGUCUUGUAGAGGGGGGUAGAAUUCCAGGUGUAGCGGUGAAAUGCGUAGAGAUCUGGAGGAAUACCGGUGGCGAAGGCGGCCCCCUGGACAAAGACUGACGCUCAGGUGCGAAAGCGUGGGGAGCAAACAGGAUUAGAUACCCGGGUAGUC